UAGCUUGGUAAUAGGGUCCCUUGAGAAAUCCGCCGGCUUAACUGGCGGGCGUUCAGGGGAAACUUGUUUUCUAGGGACCGGGAGAGGUGAGGGGUACUGCCGGGGUAGGAGUGAAAUCCUGUAAUCCCGGUGGGACCACCUAUGGCGAAGGCAUCUCACCAGAACGGGUCCGACAGUGUGGGACGAAAGCUGGGGAAGCAAACCGGAUUAGAUACCCGGGUAGUCCCAGCUGUAAACUAUGUGCGUUAGGUGUGUCAGUGACCACGUGUCACUGAGGUGCCGAAGGGAAACCGUGAAACGCACCGCCUGGGGAGUACGGUCGCAAGGCUGAAACUUAAAGGAAUUGGCGGGGGAGCACCACGACGGGUGGAGCCUGCGGUUUUAUCGGACUCAACGCCGGGAAUCUCACCGGAUAAGACAGCUGAAUGAUAGUCGGGAUGAAGACUCUACUUGACUAGCUGAGAGGAGGUGCAUGGCCGUCGUCAGUUCGUACUGUGAAGCAUCCUGUUUAGUCAGGCAACGAGCGAGACCCACGCGAGCAGUUGCCAGCUUGACCUUCGGGUUGAUGGGGACACUGCUCGGACCGCCUCUGCUAAAGGGGAGGAAGGACUGGGCAACGGUAGGUCAGCAUGCCCCGAAUUAUCCGGGCUACACGCGGGCUACAAUGGACAGGACAAUGAGUUUCGACACCGAGAGGUGAGGAUAAUCUUCUAACCCUGUCCCAAGUUCGGAUUGCGGGUUGUAACUCACCCGCAUGAAGCUGGAAUCCGUAGUAAUCGCGUUUCAACAUACCGCGGUGAAUAUGUCCCUGCUCCUUGCACUCACCGCCCGU
rnacentral:rRNA from 1 species